rnacentral:rRNA from 1 species
GUACACUCCUGCGGGAGGCAGCAGUGGGGAAUAUUGGACAAUGGGCGCAAGCCUGAUCCAGCCAUGCCGCGUGAGUGAUGAAGGCCCUAGGGUUGUAAAGCUCUUUCACCGGUGAAGAUAAUGACGGUAACCGGAGAAGAAGCCCCGGCUAACUUCGUGCCAGCAGCCGCGGUAAUACGAAGGGGGCUAGCGUUGUUCGGAUUUACUGGGCGUAAAGCGCACGUAGGCGGACUAUUAAGUCAGGGGUGAAAUCCCGGGGCUCAACCCCGGAACUGCCUUUGAUACUGGUAGUCUUGAGUUCGAGAGAGGUGAGUGGAAUUCCGAGUGUAGAGGUGAAAUUCGUAGAUAUUCGGAGGAACACCAGUGGCGAAGGCGGCUCACUGGCUCGAUACUGACGCUGAGGUGCGAAAGCGUGGGGAGCAAACAGGAUUAGAUACCCCUGUAGUCCCAU